UUCGUGAAAGGUGUGAGGGAGGAAGAAGGAAGGGAGAAGCGAAGAAGAAAGGCGGAGGGAGGAAGAAGCACCGUGUUCUAUUUUAUGGGCGACUGUUGGACGAGGCCAUCAACUCUUCCAUCUUAUCUUCCCUCUCGUCCUUGUCUGGUGAAAGAGGCUCAUAAUGUUUCUGAAGCACUAAAGACUAACAAAUGUCUCGUUUCUUUUUCCUCAGAAACGUUUACUAUGAAUGUUUCGCUGCUUCCUCUUGGUCUGAAAUACUUGUUGGGUGCUUUCUUUCGCUUAACAAAUGUGUGAAUCAUAUGCCCAUAUUCAGAAACGUUCUGCUUUCUCACCACGACUUGUCAAAGGCCGCAGAGAUGAUUAGCCGUGUCCUCAAGAGUGUUUCUCCAGUUAAUAAUUUAAAAAUCUUGUUAAUAUGUCAUUAGAAUAGCAAAAAGAAAAAAAAAAAAGAAAAAAAACUCUUAAAAAACAGUGUAACUUCAUUUAGAGCCUUCUGAAUAUAGUAGAGAUGAGGCGAAGUGUUUCGGAAUACGAUCCAUGAACGUCAUGCGAGUAUUCUUGCACAGAAUGAUCAGCUCGCCAAUAAACUCUCACAUCAAGCAUCAUGAUUGUGGGACUCAUUUCAUCAGAAUUCAUGCUCCUUUCAUAUAAGAAAAUAUCAUUUGCAUCAUGGAUAAGAUAUCGGGCCUUCAAAAAUACUGAACAUACACAAGCUGGUUCGAGACAUUCAGACAGUUUCGGUUACUAUCUAGGUUAAGUUAGGUUCGGUUCUAUCCGAUUGGGGUUGGUUGCAAUAGCUCACCUUACUACACACUCCCCAAAGUCAGCUGAGGUGGCUGUUGCUGACGUGAUCCGUAAACUCUAGCCUACAUCACAGACUUGACAAGUGAUUCGUAUUCCUCUGGUUCCAGCUCUACGUGGCUGAGACUGCGAUGGGACUGCGAGCACCAAGGUCUUUUGUGUGGACUGGUGUGACUCAUCUUUCUUCCCCGGUUGCUGCUGAGGUUCCUUGAAGGUCCCUGGCGGAUACUUGCCCUUGGUGGCGAACGAUGAUCCCUGGAAAGUGUGUGGUGGCGUUGCUGAACAGACUUGGGACUCACAAGGCUAUAGGGUUAGAUAAUCACUUGCCAGCCUGCUUUCCUCCACUCACAGUAUGCAAGGAACACUCACCUCUAUAAGGUUCUAAAAAACUGCUUAUAAGUUUGAAGUGCAAGUGAGUAAGUUGAUUGGUCUACGUGUGUUAUUUUGAAAUCAUCCGACGCUCCACAAACAUAACCUCUGCGUCAGGUAAUGAUCUUGACACUGAUAUGGCUGCUUGUUUGGACUCGUUACCGCGGUCAUUCACUGUCUGGCAACGAGAGCACUAAUGUUUGGGAGCAAAAUGGACUCAAAUAGUCUGGGAUUGCAGAUUCAUCUCAUUCUAGUAUGUCCGCCACACUAAGGAAAGGAGUGGCAGAAGGGAGUUGGGCGACGUGGAAGGAGUUUGUGAGCGGCCGCUGCGGGGUAUUCCACGUUAGUGAUGGCAGGAGUGGUUCAAAAGACCCUCGGAAAAGUAACUUUACCUACCCAACUAAAUGCGGAAAUGUGCGUGGAGGAAGUAUGCAUACAUACGUGGAAAUGGGUGUUAAGUGAUUCAUGACCUCACUUCCGACCGCAGGUAUUGGGUACCCAUUCCUGUU